AUGGCAAGCAUGGGCGCGGACGCAUCCUUGCCUCGAUGGGGUAGCUGCUCUCUCCAAGGCCUCAACAUUGAGGUCCGGGCGGGGCUGGACAAAGACGCCCUCCCCAGCGGCGGCAGCGGCAUUAGUAUCCCUCCGCAUUUCUGGGGCGAGGGUCCGGUGGCCGAGGCCGAGCUUGGCUUCCCCGUGUACACGGGCUACUCGGAGGCGAGGGCCUUGAUCGGCGAGGGAGCCACGGCGGAUCUGAGAAGGCUGUCAUGCCAGGCCCGAGGCAUGGUGACGGAGAUGUUUGCUAGCAUCACAGUUGGCGGCAAGGACGAGGUGGAGGAAGGAGCAGCGCCGUCGCUGCCCAGGCCCAGGGUGGUGCAGCUGCGUCUAUCACCGGAGCUGGCGCUGUGGAAAAGCACCCAACACGCAAUCGGCAACGUGCUUCCUCCUAAGGGCAAGGCGCUCAGGCAAGCCUCGCCGCAGGUGCUCGCCCAGCUGGGCGCCACCGACUGGCCCGCGGCCCUGACCACCAACAAUGCCUUGUUCGGCGGCUGCAUGUCCAACAUGCUCAUUGGCGCCGCCGACGUGCGCACCAUGUUCUCCAACUAUGUCACCGACAUGGCCGUUAACUACGAGUACGGGUACAGCCACGUGUUUCCCACGCUCCAGGGGCUGGUGCAGGAUGCGCUCGCCGACGCCCACGCGCUGGGCACCCCUCACGGGCGGGAGCGCCGUGAGGCUGUCGCCGUUGGCCUCCCGUACAUCCAGGACAAGAUCGCGCUGGAGGUGGCGAACAAGACACGCCUCAAGUACUGCUCUGCGCAGAUGGAUCGCCGUGCCGCCCAGGUCAUCUACCUGUUCGACAGCAGCGUGCUCGGCAUUGGAGCCGAGGCCACGGCCCGGGGCUUCGACGUCGGCGCCAUCAUGAGCGACCUCGUCUUGAGCAUCAACAGCCACGACGUCAUCGACGUGGGCUCCGACCUGGUGAACUCUGAGAUCAUGAACUCGUUCCUCAACGUGGCCGACAUCGCCGCCUCGGGCGUGGUGAGCGAGCCGGCGCUCCGGGCCAUCUACGACGCAUACGCCGCCACGGGCGCACGGGCCUUCACCCAGAGGUGGCACGAGCCCUCAACCCGGAUGGUCGACAAUGAAAUCGCGUGGCACAUCGCCAACGACCGGCACAUGCUCUUCCGCCGCGCCCUCCUGGGAUGGCCCAAGGCGCGCAAGUCGCCGGCGCGGCCCCAGCGCGAGGCGGACUUCGACGAGGUCUUCGACACCGACUUCCACACCACCGGCUUCAGCAGGCCCCUGGACCCCGAGUACGCCUGCGACGGCGAGGAAACCUGCAACCAUGUACGCCGGUUCCUCCGCCAGCGCCAGGACGAGGACCAGCAGCUGCUUGGCGCCCUCUGGUGGUCCCUCGUCACCGGCCCGCUGGAGUACGUCCGGCAGGGCAAGGUGGACGAGCAGCGCGAGGAGAACCUCGCCGAAUCCGUGCGCCUGCAGCUGGUCCAGCUCUUCUCCAAGGGUCUCGUCGACGAAAUGGCCUGGCUCCUCGCCCAUGCGAGCCACCACGCCUGGCAGGUGAACUAUCUGUACGAGGCCGCCAUGUUCGGCAGCAUCCUGGACGGGGGCGCCUUGACAGGCAAGCUCGACCGGGCAGAGGAGGGGGAGGAAGUCAAUCUCGGCUGA
rnacentral:rRNA from 1 species